rnacentral:siRNA from 1 species
UUGGUGAGGCUAAGCAGAUGC